rnacentral:rRNA from 1 species
AUUGAACGCUGGCGGCAGGCCUAACACAUGCAAGUCGAACGAGGGGCGGACGGGUGAGAAAUGUCGGGGAAACUGCCUGACGGAGGGGGAUAACUAGUGGAAACGGUAGCAAAAACCGCAUACCAUAGGAUGGGCACAGAAGGGAUUAGCUAGUAGGUGGGGUAACGGCUCACCGAGGCGACGAUCCCUAGCUGGUCUGAGAGGAUGACCAGCCACACUGGAACUGAGACACGGUCCAGACUCCUACGGGAGGCAGCAGUGGGGAAUCUUCCGCAAUGGGCGCAAGCCUGAUGCAGCCAUGCCGCGUGUAUGAAGAAGGCCUUCGGGUUGUAAAGUUCUUUCAUCGGGGAGGCGUUACCCACAGAGGAAGCACCGGCUAACUCCGUGCCAGCAGCCGCGGUAAUAC